CAAGUACUCCCUCUGUCCGAAAUUACUUGUCAUCAAAAUGGAUGUGUCUAGAACUAAAAUACAUCUAGAUACAUCCAUUUCAAUGACAAGUAUUUUCGGACGGAGGGAGUACAAG
rnacentral:pre_miRNA from 1 species